AUUGAACGCUGGCGGCAGGCCUAACACAUGCAAGUCGAGCGAGCGGCGGACGGGUGUGUAAUGCCUGGGAAUUGCCCAGUCGAGGGGUAUAACAGUUGGAAACGACUGCUAAUACCGCAUACGAUUGUAUUGCACAGGUGGGCUUAGCUGGUUGGUGUGGUAUUGGCUCACCAAGGCGACGAUCCCGAGCUGGUCCGAGAGGAUGACCAGCCACGCGUGAACUGAGACACGGUCCAGACUACUACGGGAGGCAGCAGUUGGGAAUAUUGCACAAUGGGGGAAAACCUGAUGCAGCCAUGUCGCGUGUGGGAAGAAGGCCUUCGGGUUGUAAAGCACUUUCAGCGAGGAGGCGUUACUCGCAGAAGAAGCACCGGCUAACUCCGUGCCAGCAGCCGCGGUAAUUC
rnacentral:rRNA from 1 species